CUCUCGGGUGACGAGUGGCGGACGGGUGAGUAAUGUCUGGGAAACUGCCUGAUGGAGGGGGAUAACUACUGGAAACGGUAGCUAAUACCGCAUAACGUCGCAAGACCAAAGAGGGGGACCUUCGGGCCUCUUGCCAUCAGAUGUGCCCAGAUGGGAUUAGCUAGUAGGUGGGGUAACGGCUCACCUAGGCGACGAUCCCUAGCUGGUCUGAGAGGAUGACCAGCCACACUGGAACUGAGACACGGUCCAGACUCCUACGGGAGGCAGCAGUGGGGAAUAUUGCACAAUGGGCGCAAGCCUGAUGCAGCCAUGCCGCGUGUAUGAAGAAGGCCUUCGGGUUGUAAAGUACUUUCAGCGGGGAGGAAGGUGUUGUGGUUAAUAACCGCAGCAAUUGACGUUACCCGCAGAAGAAGCACCGGCUAACUCCGUGCCAGCAGCCGCGGUAAUACGGAGGGUGCAAGCGUUAAUCGGAAUUACUGGGCGUAAAGCGCACGCAGGCGGUCUGUCAAGUCGGAUGUGAAAUCCCCGGGCUCAACCUGGGAACUGCAUUCGAAACUGGCAGGCUAGAGUCUUGUAGAGGGGGGUAGAAUUCCAGGUGUAGCGGUGAAAUGCGUAGAGA
rnacentral:rRNA from 1 species